AGCGAACGUUAGCGGCGGGCCUAACACAUGCAAGUCGAACGCGAAAGGUCUUCGGACUGAGUAGAGUGGCGCACGGGUGAGUAACACGUAGGUAAUCUACCCUUUGGCGGGGGGAUAACGUUCCGAAAGGAGCGCUAAUACCGCAUAAGACCACGGAGUCUCCGGACGCUGUGGGAAAAGGUGGCCUCUUCUUGAAAGCUACCACCGAAGGAUGAGCCUGCGUCCCAUCAGCUAGUUGUAGUAAUGGCUUACCAAGGCGAAGACGGGUAGCUGGUUUGAGAGGAUGAUCAGCCACACUGGGACUGAGACACGGCCCAGACUCCUACGGGAGGCAGCAGUGGGGAAUAUUGGACAAUGGGCGCAAGCCUGAUCCAGCCAUGCCGCGUGAGUGAUGACGGCCUUAGGGUUGUAAAGCUCUUUCAACGGUGAAGAUAAUGACGGUAACCGUAGAAGAAGCCCCGGCUAACUUCGUGCCAGCAGCCGCGGUAAUGUCUAGCA
rnacentral:rRNA from 1 species